CCCUUAGAUGUCCUGGGCCACACGCGCGUUACACUGAUGCAUUCAACGAGCUUAUAACCUUGGCCGAGAGGCCUGGGCAAUCUUGUUAACGUGCAUCGUGAUAGGGAUAGAUUAUUGAAAUUAUUAAUCUUGAACGAGGAAUUCCUAGUAAACGCAGAUCAUCAAUCUGCAUUGAUUACGUCCCUGCCCUUUGUACACACCGCCCGUCGCACCUACCGAUUGGAUGGUCCGGUGAAGCCUCGGGAUUGUGGUUCUUGCCGCUUUAUUGUAGCGUGACCGCGAGAACUUGUCUAAACCUUAUCAUCUAGAGGAAGGUGAAGUCGUAACA
rnacentral:rRNA from 1 species